UACAGAGGGUGCAAGCGUUAAUCGGAAUUACUGGGCGUAAAGGGCUCGUAGGCGGCCAACUAAGUCAGACGUGAAAUCCCUCGGCUUAACCGGGGAACUGCGUCUGAUACUGGAUGGCUUGAAUCCGGGAGAGGGAAGCGGAAUUUCCGGUGUAGCGGUGAAAUGCGUAGAUAUCGGAAGGAACAUCAGUGGCGAAAGCGGCUUCCUGGACCAGUACAGACGUUCAGGCACGAAAGCGUGGGGAGCAAACAGG
rnacentral:rRNA from 1 species